GGAUGGAUGGCCGAGCGGUUUAAGGUACCGGUCUUGAAAACCGGCGUGCGUUAACGCGUACCGUGGGUUCGAAUCCCACUCCAUCCGCCA
rnacentral:tRNA from 1 species